rnacentral:lncRNA from 1 species
CAGGGCGGGUUGUUGUAGGAUUUGCAGUCAGAAUGCGUGAAGCUGCGGCGGUGCUCUGAGAUGUCAUAGACGGAUGACUCCCGUCGGAUGAAGUCCAGGGCGCUCUGCGGUGAGCCAUUCACACCAGACAGGUUAGCCAUGUUCUUGGCCGUGCGCAGCAGGCGCAGGAUGUUGGAGUGUGUGUUGUUCAUGGUUGCGGUGGGGGAGUUCAUUACAGACUGGCGCUCCUCGAUCGCCACCCCAUGGAUGCAGCUGUAGAUACCCUGAAGC